rnacentral:lncRNA from 1 species
CGCACAACCUAGCCUAAGCCAACCCUAUCUCUGAUUUCACAACCACGCCUGCCUGCUCCACGGCUUCCGGCAACCAUUGAUCUAUCACCAUAGCUCAUAACUGUGCCAAUCUUGCACCUUGGCUCCCAGCCAUGCUGAUCUUGCCAUGUACCUCGUGCCAACCAAGCCUCAAAAAGGCAUAUGACGAAACACCUAAUGAGGCUCACUGCUCUUACACCUUUACGCGAGAUCCACAAGCAGUUUAAAGUCUUAAGCAGGUUGCCAAACAUGACCUCGCAGGCUAAGGAUUAUUUCGGUUGUCCCAGCAGUCCAGUUUUCCUCAGCUGCACUCACGACAACGACUUUCUUGCUCUCCAGUGCGAGAGGGUAAACCAAUUCCCCGACACCCAUAUGGGUCUGCUCUCCAAUGCGAGAGGAUAAACUAAUUGCUUUCCAGUGCGAGAGGGUAAACCAAUUCUCCAACACCCAAAAGGGUAUGCUCUUCAGUGUGAGAGGGUAAACUAAUUCUCCGACAGCUAUAUGGGUUUGCUCUCCAGUGUGAAAGGAUAAACUAAUUGCUCUCCAGUGAGAGAGGGUAAACUAAUUCUUUGACACCCAUAUGGCUUUGCUCUCCAGUGCGAGAGGAUAAACUAAUUGUUCUCCAGUGAGAGAGGGUAAACUAAUUCCCCGACACCCAUAUUGGUUUGCUUUCUAGUGCGAGAGGAUAAACUAAUUGCUCUCCAGUGCGAGAAGGUAAACUAAUUGCUCUCCAGCACGAAAGGGUAAACUAAUUGCUCUCCAAUGUGAGAGGGUAAACUAAUUUCUCUCCAGCGCGAGAGGGUAAACUAAUUGCUCUCCAGUGCGAGAGGGUAAACUAAUUCCACGACACCCAUCUGGGUAAGCUCUCUAGUGCGAGAAGGCCACAUAACUUAAAAGAUCGAAUGCUUGAAGAUUAACUAGGCAGUAAAUGGUCAGGGGCAGUAGCCACUUUUGCACUUAACAGUUCACUCAUUCAACACUUCAUCUUCAACAGCUCCGAUCUUGGCAGCUAUAUCCUUGACUGCUCCAUCUACGAUAGCUGAGAAAUCAAACUCAAGCAGUUUCCUCAUUUUUGGUAAGCAGGCCAGACAUGGCAGCUUAAAUUGUUGCCCAUGCCACGCCACCUCCUUGGCCCAUGACAAGCUGACUCCUGGCCUCUGCCAGCCGACGUGCUGCACCACCCCGACGACUGCCCCGUGGCAGCACCUCCCAUAAAAAGACAAGGAGAAUUAAGUUUUUCUUACAUUUGUGCGGCGCGGAGAAGACGAAGAAAGCAGCGAAAGACGAUCAUUUCACGGGCAAGAUGUAGAAGAUUGUUAGAGGAGGGGGAACAAAUAUCCUCUAAGCUCUCUCUCUCUCUCUCUUGUAAGGUAGAAUAAAUCACUCUCCAAAGUUGAUUUAAUAACCCACUUAAGGUGGACUUAAAUAGGCUUUGAGAGAAAUUUAUUUCUCUUUCCUAGAAGGAUCUAAUUUCAUAUUAAAGAGGGGAUCUACAUCAAAAUAGGAAGUAGUCCUAGGUUUCCUAGAGCAAGAAGAUCUCUACACCUGCUGCACUUUCCUACGAGCAGCCCAGCAGGUGUGGGGGCAUUUGUGGAGCCAAAAAUAAUUACAAAGUGACAUGUGGAUUUUUGGGUGAAGAUGACAAAUUUACCCUCGAGGCAUACCGGGUCUCUUACACGCGAGCAGUGGAGAAUCAUCCAUCAACCAAAUCAGAAGUACCCAAAAUAGGUAACAAGUUCAAAUUUGUCUCAUCCAUCCUCAUUCCAUAACCUCCAAAACCUCCCAAAACAUUUCUUUUAUUAUGAUAAUUAGCCAAUUAAUAUAUUUAUACCUAAUUAAUAUAUUAAUUGCUAAUUGAAUCACCAAAUAACACUCCAUUCCCUAUAUAUAUGACUCUAUUUCUUCUAAAAAGCUAAGUUGAUACUAUUACAAAACUCCCAAAUACUUUUCUCUCUAAAUUCUAACUUUGGCAUCGAAGGUUCUUCGGCCAAAGCCCCCCCCCCCCAAAUUCAUCGUGGGCGCAUGAGGCUCUUGGCCUUGACCUAAGGUGUUAAUUGUUUUGUAGGUGCAAUUUUGUCCAAGAAGAAGAAGGCGGAAAUUUGCAUCCACAAUAUCUUUUCCAUUUUCUAGUAGGUUUAGGCUUGCUUCUCUAUUUUUCUUUUAAUUUUUAAUAUUUUAACUUUUAGAAUUUGGUCUUAAAAAAUAAGUAUAAAUAGCUUUUUGUAACUUUGUAGUAAUAAAGUAUUGAUCAAAAUGUAAUUUUUUUUUUGUUAUACAUCCGUGUGAUGAACAAAUUUUACAUAAAAGUAGAAUAACUCUUUUUUUUUUUUUUUGGUCAAAGGAUAAACUUCAUUACCAACUAGAGAAGUACAACAAAGGCCCAAAACCAUAUGAACACAACAAAAGAAAAAGGGCCACAACACACAGAAGACAAAGGCCCAAGACCAACCUUGGAGCCCAGGACAAACAACCAAACCACACAGAACCCUACACAACUAGGCUUCCUGUUGCAAACGAUACUGUCGCCGAUAGAGAACCACAGCACAAUCGGCCACCUUCCACGAUUACCUGAGAUCAAACCAUCAAGAAACCUAGAAUUGGUGAGGACAGAGGUCACAUCAUCAUCUCAAGACCAGCACUGGAAUAGUAGCCAAGAGAACAAAGAAGCACGCAGGUAGAAAGAACCCACAAGCAACAUCGUCGACAAGGGCGAGCAACAACGGGAGUGACUAGCAAGGGCCAACAAAAGUGGUGGUGUGGACACCCGAGCUAAAGCUCUACACACCCUCCCAAAGAUCCAUGAAAAAACGUGGUAAGUAGAGACGGCACCCGAUCAAAAGUGAGGAGAGAGAUGAUUG